AAGAAAGUAAGCAAGGGCGCAUGGCGGAUGCCUUGGCUCUCGGAGGCGAUGAAGGACGUGAUAAGCUGCGAUAAGCUUCGGGCAGGUGCAAAUAACCUUUGAUCCGAAGAUUUCCGAAUGGGACAACCCGUCAUUCUGAAGGAAUGACAUCUUGCAUAGCAAGAGGCUAACGCAGGGAACUGAAACAUCUUAGUACCUGUAGGAAAAGAAAAUAAUAAUGAUUCCCCUAGUAGUGGCGAGCGAACGGGGAUUAGCCCAAACCAAUGUUGUUACGGCAAUAUUGGGGUUGUAGGACCACGAUGUCGCAAGAACUUUAGUGAGAAGAACCCUUUGGAAAAUGGGACCAUAGACGGUGAUAGUCCGGUAUUCGAAGCUAAACGAAGCGUAGUGGUAUCCUGAGUAGCGCGGGACACGAGGAAUCUUGCGUGAAUCUGCCGGGACCAUCCGGUAAGGCUAAAUACUCCCGAGAGACCGAUAGCGAACCAGUACUGUGAAGGAAAGGUGAAAAGCACUUCGAAUAGAAGAGUGAAAUAGUCCCUGAAACCGUGCGCCUACAAGCGGUCGGAGC
rnacentral:rRNA from 1 species